CUGCCUUGCUUUCUUUUACUUAAGAAUAUACCUUAGAGAUUGUUCCAUUUCAGUACACAAACUGAUGCCUCAUUUUUACAGCUGCGUAGUGUUCCAUUCUAUGAGUCUUCGGUAAUUUAGGUAAAUCAGUCUCUGGUCAAAGUUCUCACCAUCUCCAUUUCCUUCAACUCUUUAGCCAAACCCUCCCUAAGUCCAAUCAAUUUACCAUCCAACCAUUUCUCUGAAACAUCUUAUCACUUCAUCUUCAUGUCCACUUCAGCCCAGAUGUAACAGCCUCAUGGUCGAGCUCUCACCUUAUCAAGUCUGGCUCUGGCUGCUCUGUGAAGGAGAAAUUGCAUGGCAAGGCCAGUGAGAAAGCUGUGGCGGCCAUCCAGCAGGACACGCCAAUGGCUCCAUGACAGAAAGGAUUGUAUUUUGCUCUCUUCUCUAUUUCCAGCACAAUUCCUCAGACAUCAAGGUGGUGUUUUGUUACUGGUCGAAAUUCUCUUGAUUGUAGAUGCAUGGGCAUGGUUCUCUGAGAUGGUGCAAUUAACCCUUGCAUCUUCACAUAAAGAUCAGUCAUUUUAAUGAGGCAAAAACCUUAGUAUGCUCUCUGGCUUCACUUCAAAAUGAUGCUCCAGCUCUCAUUGGGGAAAGGUACUAAUCAUUUCAAUGUUUAUUAAUGCCCCUAAAGCCUGUCUAUAUUUAGAAAAGUUGUGCCUGGGAUUUUGUGACAGUAUAUGCAGAAUUUGCUCAUGUCAUAAUUUUAUCUUCAUUCAUGACUUCACAUGACUCUAAGAAGAAUGCAUGUUGAAGCGGAAAAGCCAUCAGGCACUUCUGUGGUUUGGGUUUUGCUGAAUGCAAUGCUUAGUGAGAAACCACCCUGAGUAUGUCAGCCUUCAUCCAGUGGGAUUGAGAACUUGGAGAGAGGGCCAGCAGAGAGUUACCAUAGAUUACUUAGACUUAAGUAAACCAAUUACUUGUUGAUGAAGGCUCAUGAGCAAUUUAUACCAUGCUAUGUCCAUAAGCAGUAUGACUGGUUGAGGCAGAACUGCUAAAGUAAUAUUGGAGUGAUUUUCCCAGUGAAAUGUGAUAUUCCAGUUCUCUCUUUGGAUCACACUGAAAGAGAGGAUAAAAUUUUAAAAUCCAACAAAUUAAUACUUCACCAAUCCAGGUUUGUGGAAGGUUUGUGGCGAAGAAGUCAGAUCCUCCUAAGUUUAUUUUAUUCCAGGUCUCCUGGAUCCAUCAUAAAUGGAAUUUAUAGUUGGCUCUAAGAAGUGAUAAAACCACAUGCAUUCUUAUCUUUGCCCUCACAAUAUGUAGCUUCUCAUGAGCCUCCUUCAACUUUGCCCCUUGUUCACUCAUCUUCUCCCUCCAGGGGGUUGGCAGCCACCAGGUCACUGUUUUAGUAGUCCGUUUUGGAUUGUUUUCAAUCAUUUCAUGGCCUGUGAAUUGUCUGGGUUAGAAGCUACAGGCAGUACUAGUGAACAGUUCAUGUUAGGAGCAAAGACAUGAAGAAAAUACUUCCUCACACACUGUUUCUUGGAAUUCUAGUCCAUGAACUUCAUGUGA
rnacentral:lncRNA from 10 species